CUACGGGAGGCAGCAGUAGGGAAUCUUCCGCAAUGGACGAAAGUCUGACGGAGCAACGCCGCGUGAGUGAGGAAGGCCUUCGGGUCGUAAAGCUCUGUUGUGAGGGAAGAACAAGUACCGGCGUAACUACCGGUACCUUGACGGUACCUCACCAGAAAGCCACGGCUAACUACGUGCCAGCAGCCGCGGUAAUACGUAGGUGGCAAGCGUUGUCCGGAAUUAUUGGGCGUAAAGCGCGCGCAGGCGGCUUCUUAAGUCUGAUGUGAAAUCUCGGGGCUCAACCCCGAGCGGCCAUUGGAAACUGGGAAGCUUGAGUGCAGAAGAGGAGAGUGGAAUUCCACGUGUAGCGGUGAAAUGCGUAGAUAUGUGGAGGAACACCAGUGGCGAAGGCGACUCUCUGGUCUGUAACUGACGCUGAGGCGCGAAAGCGUGGGGAGCAAACAGGAUUAGAUACCCUGGUAGUCCACGCCGUAAACGAUGAGUGCUAGGUGUUAGGGGUUUCGAUGCCCGUAGUGCCGAAGUAAACACAUUAAGCACUCCGCCUGGGGAGUACGGCCGCAAGGCUGAAACUCAAAGGAAUUGACGGGGACCCGCACAAGCAGUGGAGCAUGUGGUUUAAUUCGAAGCAACGCGAAGAACCUUACCAGGUCUUGACAUCCUUUGACCACUCUGGAGACAGAGCUUCCCCUUCGGGGGCAAAGUGACAGGUGGUGCAUGGUUGUCGUCAGCUCGUGUCGUGAGAUGUUGGGUUAAGUCCCGCAACGAGCGCAACCCUUGAUCUUAGUUGCCAGCAUUCAGUUGGGCACUCUAAGGUGACUGCCGGUGACAAACCGGAGGAAGGUGGGGACGACGUCAAAUCAUCAUGCCCCUUAUGACCUGGGCUACACACGUGCUACAAUGGAUGGUACAAAGGGCAGCGAAACCGCGAGGUGGAGCCAAUCCCAUAAAGCCAUUCUCAG
rnacentral:rRNA from 2 species